AGCCAUAAAUGAAGUACUUCGUAGCAUUUAAUGCACAUUCGUAAUUAGUAACCAAAUAACCCAACUAAGGCAUAUAACUACAAGAAAUGGAUUAAUUUCCGACCGCCAGUAACUUGCAACACAUCAAGUAUAUCAUUUCUGACCUCUUUGGCAAAGAGAUGCAAGUUAUAUUUUUUUAUUUCUUGUUUGAGAGAGGUAAGAUGUUUUUGGUACUUUACAUAGAAAUUAAUAUACUUUUGAAGCUACAACCGAGCAUUACUUUCAGGUUUAUAUAUAUCGCACCUCCAUAUUUAAUUCGAUGUACGUGUAUGAGAAACAACGAAUAAUUUAGAGAAUGAAUUUGAGUAGUAAGUAAUCGUAUUGAAUGAAUUUGUGCAUGUUUAGGUAUUUAUUAUAAUAAAUGCAUUUUAUUUUGAUUUUUAUUCGUAUUGGCUUGUGUUUAAGUAAAUUAUUGAUUUUUAUAUGAUUAAUAAGUGUGGUUGCUAUGUUACAAUAUUAAUUAUUUGAGUGCUUAGUUAGAAAGCAACGAGCGUUAUUUAGACUACGUAGUAGGUUUAGUAACAUGAUUAUUGUAAGAUGUGUAGAGUUUGGUUAUUAACAUGUUUUUUGUGAGAUGUGUAGAAUUUGUUAUCAUGAAAAGGAGGGAACGUAGUUGGAUGUAUGAUAGACUGGAUGGGCGCAACCUUAAGCCCGACUUUCUCAAGGGGGUGGGAGAGUUCAUUGAAUUUUGCAAAGAGCAUCCAACUGUGUUCAUUGAGAUGCACAAGCCCUCUGUGUUCAUUGAGUUAAGUACAUGCACUACCAAGGACACAAAAAAGAUGGGUGGAAGGAAGCCAGAUUGAAUGACUAAGGAAGUGCAUGCAUAAAUGAUAAAGUACGUGGAUGAUGAUGAUGAAUGAAAAGAUCUGAGCGGGCUAAGAAAAAUAGGAGAGGGGGUUCAUUGACCAACAAAGUCAAACCCUCACAUUUUCAAGAUUCCAUUUCCACAACUGAGGCUGCAAAGAAGAUGGCAAAGGAAAGUGGAAGUGUGAUGCCUACAGCAGGUGAUUUAUAUUUGAAGACGCACACGAAGGAGGUACAGGGUAAAGGGAAAGUCCCUUAGUAGUAUCAAAGCAAAGCAAAUCAAGGAAACCUACGAAAAAAGUGUUGCUGGAUACCAUGAAAAAUGCAUUGAUAAAGAUCCCAAUCAAAUCUACUUUGAGACAGUAGGUGGGAGAAAGAAGGGAAAGGUUCCUGGACUUGGGGAGUGGAGCAGCUCUAUACUAUGCAUCAUCUUCUAGAAGGGGUGCUAGCUCAUACACCCCAUCUCUUUAUUCUUAACUCUCAACAUGUUUAGAAGAAACUCAACAACAGUUGUCUCAAAAAUCCAUUGAGCUUGAAACGAUAAAAGCUCAGAUGCUAAAGGUUAUGGAUGACGAGCGACUAGAGCGGCAAAGGGAGAGCGAAGAAGAGCGACUAGAGCGGCAAAGGGAGAGAGAAAGGGAGAGAGAAGAAUAUGUCGCCCAGAUGAAAAAUUAAUAAGUGGUCAUUGAACAAUGAAUUUAUCCCUAAUAUUUGUGUCAUUCACUGUUACCUAAUAUUUAUCCCUAAUACAAUAAGAAGAGUGAAACUUCUUUUGUA